AUUGAACGCUGGCGGCAUGCUUUACACAUGCAAGUCGAACGGCAGCGCGGGCUUCGGCCUGGCCGCGAGUGGCGAACGGGUGUGUAAUGCAUCUGAACGUGCCCCGUAGUUGGGGAUAGCCCGGCGAAAUCCGGAUUAAUACCGCAUACGACCUGAGGGUGAAAGCGGGGGUCCGAAAGGCCUCGCGCUAUUGGAUCGGCCGAUGUCGGAUUAGCUAGUUGGUGGGGUAAAGGCUUACCAAGGCGACGAUCCGUAGCUGGUCUGAGAGGACGACCAGCCACGCUGGGACUGAGACACGGCCCAGACUCCUACGGGAGGCAGCAGUGGGGAAUGUUGGAAAAUGGGGGCAACACUGAUCCAGCCGUGCCGCGUGCGGGAAGAAGGCCUUCGGGUUGUAAAACGCUUUUGUUCGGGAAGAAAGCCUCUGGGCUAAUACCACGGGGGGAUGACGGUACCGGAAGAAUAAGCACCGGCUAACUACGUG
rnacentral:rRNA from 1 species